GGGAUAGUGCUGGAUUCGACAGGCUAUGUGAAGUAAUACUGGCAUGCCUUGGUAACGCAAGUAAAAACGUCGAGGUUUAAAUAACCGCUAACCAAAAUUACGCUUUAGCUGCUUAAUUAGAUAAUCGCAGCAGUCGCCCUUAAGUUAGCCUUAGACUUAAGUGUGCGAUUCAGAGAUAAGGCUAGGUUAGUCUAUUUCGCCUAGAUAGUACUAACUGAGAUUGAUUAGGCUAGCUUUUUCUGGGGUUUGUUUAUUGCUCCUAGGGAAAGCGAAAAACAAGCAAUAAACUAAGCAUGUAGAUAGUAUUAUGGAGUGUAGCUUGGACAGGGGUUCGACUCCCCUCUAUUCCACCA
rnacentral:tmRNA from 1 species